GAUUAGAUAAUGGUUGUGAAAUUUAUGGUUUGUUUUUCUCAGAUAUAGUCAAAUUUAUAGUGAUCGUUAGAGAUAUUUAUUUAUAGAAAGGAGAGAUGCAAAGAAAGGGAUAGAGGCUGAAGUGUUUGUUUUGCGUCGCUAGAAGAUGAAAAUAGAGGUAAAGGCAAAACAAGUGUGUCUACUGGAACUGAGACCUUAGGAGAAGCUAAAGCUUACGCGGAUGUGAUGAUGAGCGAAGUCGAAAUUAGGGAUGGAUAUUGAGACAGACAGAUCGUUACUAUAUCCCUAUAAGUAAGAUGUUUAAAAGAAGAACCUGUAGGGCCGGUUAAAAAUAGAUUUUAAAAUAAAUAUAAUGUGUAAACAAUUUCGUUCAAUAAUUUAUUGUUCGUAAUUUAGGUUUUUACACACACUAAAAUUUUGGUAAACCAAUGAUAAGAAUGUUAUUUUUGCUUCAUUGUAAAAGGUUAGAUUACAAUGCUUUUUCAGAUAGCUUUAUCGGUUUCCUUUUUUUAUGAUACAAUGCAAUUCCCUGAGAACAUUCAUUUUCGAACAAAGUUCUUUAAAGAUUCAUAAAUUAUAAAUGUACCUGGGAAUUUUUAAGGUAUCAUAGAUCAUUCUGAAAUAUUCAGUUCUCUCUUUGCGAGUAUAUGAUGACCAUGGUAUGAGGUUGAACUACAAAACACCGAGGAGUUCUUGCAGAAAUCGAUAUCAAAAGAUAAUGUUGUGAAAUCCGAUCCUGUGGCUUUGUACGACACGGAAUAAAGUCCCUAUCAGGGUGAGUCGAAAGAGAAAAUAGCUCUAUAAUGCAUAUAUUGUUAUCUUGGUCUUUAAAAAUAUACCGUAUAACGUAUCGCGGGCUUGUUGGCAUAGACUAUAAACUUAAUGCAUCCCCACAUGCAGGGGCGAACGCAGGGGGGGGGGGGUUAACAACCCAAAGUAAUUGAAUUUUUAAAUAAUAGAAUUUAAUUCUACAUAGUCAUUUGAAAAAUUGUAAUUCGUUGCUUUCAAAGCAAUCUUUCUGCCGACGAUAUAUGAAUAUGUAAAAUAAAUGAAUACAUUAGUCACAUUAGUUUUGAUACAAUUGUAUCUUUUUUGAUACUUUUUUUCUAAAUUUUGUGAUUUGAUACUUUUUUGUUCACAAACGGCCUAUUUUGAUACUUUUCUGCUGAUAGAAUUUAAUUUUUUGAAACUAUGAAAAUGUUAAACUAGGCCAAUUAAAAAACCCAGAAAAAUAUAAACUGGACAUAGACAUUUUUUUAAUUUGCUUCAAAGUAAUGAGUUUGUCUUAUAACUCUGUGGCUGCUGAACUGGAUUUUUUUAGAUUUAAGGGGAAUUGUGAGUCGAAAAUGGUCUUCUUUUGAAAAUUAGUUCUGAACUGAAAAGUCACCAAUAAGGUUUCUAUUAUUUUUUUUUAGAGUUUAUUGUUAAUCAUAAUACAGGAAAAAUAAAAAUUCAUUUAUUAUGACUUUCAGUUUUCGUUCCAUGAGUAAACUGACAAAACAAAUAAAUUUAAAUUAAAAAAAAAUUAUGCUAUUUGCAAAAAAAUACUUUAGUGUUUUAACUAAAAUGUCUAUAUUUUUAAUAAAAACAACCAGGAAAACCUGGUCUGAAUUAGAUACACAACUUUACUUAUUAUUUGUUUUUGAAAUGAAAAUUUUUAAAACAACGGUUGUGCUUUUGAUACUUUUUGAUACUUUUUUUGCUUGGCAACAUAUACUUAAUUUUUUUAGCUCGAGGCAACACUUGUCACUAAUGAUUAGAGCGUGAAUGAGAGUAGAACAAAUGAAUUAUGUGCGUACGCAAGAAUGAUAGAAGACAAGAUUACGACAGGCGUUUACAGUUAGCUUUUUUGGGUUUUGAGUUCCUGUUGAGUGACAACUUUCACGACCCAAAACAAAGAGCUGAAGUCAAGGCUAGUGUUUAAUUAUUAUUUAAAAUUCUAAGUGAAAAAUGUAUUAACUUGAAAAAGAAGUCCGCAAUGGCGGAAUUAAACAACAAUAGUACAAAAAAGUCGUCUAUAAAGAAUUUUUUUCACUUUUCCAACCAACAAAAAAGUUGGCGAAAUGGCGAACUUUUUGUAACAAAACAUAUAAUAUUAAUUAUAAAUAUGCAUGAUUAUAUUGGACCAUUUUAUAAAUGAAGAUUUUAAGAAUUACGUUCAUUGUGAUAUUUUAUCUGCACAUUAUUCAAUUUGGUUCACUAUGUUUCACAUUUCCGUUUUCCAUUUGACAAUUCUUCUGUUGCCUAUUCCCAUUCGUGGGUCGUGAACGCUUCAGCCUGUCGUAAUCUUGUCUUCUAUCAUUCUUGGUGCGUACGUGUGUUUUGUGCACUGUGCUAAUCACAGCUUAAAUUUAGCCAUCGCAACGACUUGCAAAAUACCUGCUAUAAGAAAUUGUAUUGGUUCCAUGAAAGAGACCGUAAAUCUUUUUCGGAUGUCAACUAAAGCAGGCACACUGCUCAAAAAUCUUAUUCUUGAAUCCUUUCCAAACUCAAAGCAAGUGAGGUUACUUAAAUUCUGCGAAACACGUUGGGUGGAGCAUUUAGAAUAUCUUUCUUUAUUUAACGAUUUAUUCCCAUUGAUCUGUACAGCGCUGGAAGAGCUUGAUACUGAAAAUUUAAGAAGUGAUUUAUCAAAGCCACAUGCUUUGUUGACUGCAAUCCAAUCACCUCAAUUUGUGAUUGCUAUGGCGAUACUAAAGCAAAUUUUUGCAUUAUCAAAACACAUAAGCCUAUGUUUGCAGCAAAUAGACUGUGAUUUGAGCAGCUACGUUGCUUAUGCAAAUAAUUUGUAUGCUGAAAUUAGUGAAAUGCGUAAGGAUUCUGAACAAUCGUUUAAACUAAUUUUUGAAUCAGUUAAAACAAUAGCCGCAGAAUUAGAUUUAGAAAUCAAAAUUCCGCGUUUGGCGAAACGGCAAACUAAUCGCGACAAUUAUGAAGGCGAACCGGAAGAAUAUUACCGCAGAUCAAUUUAUAUACCGUUUUUAGAUCAUUUUUUGGACCAAAUCAAUGAACGAUUUUUAAAACAUCGAGAGCUGCUUUCCAAAAUUGAAAACAUUUUGCCAAAUAAAUGCAUAAAUCUUGACGUUAUUGAGAUGCCGUAGACUGUUCGUGUUUUAGAAAAUCAAUGGUCCGCUGAUGUAGAAGAUCCCGAUGAUUUCGUUGCUGAAUAUAGAAUGUGGAAAAGGAACUGGUUAAAUCAAACAAAGAGAUGCAAAACUUUUUUAGACGCGUUGAAUUGUGGCGAUGCAAAAAUUUUCAAAACAGUGCAUCGUUUUUUAAAGAUUGGAGCAACAAUCCCUAUAUCUGUCGCUUCAAGUGAACGCUCGUUUUCCUCAUUUCGCAGGCUUAAAACAUAUUUAAGAAAUAAAACUGGAGAAGCACGCCUGAACGGAAUGGCUCUCUUGAAUAUCCAUAGAGAUAUAGACGUGACGGAGGAAGAGAUUUUAAAUGUUAUGGCCCAAAAUAAAAGAAGAUUAGACUUCAAUUUGUGAAUAAAAUAAUGAAACAUUGUUUUUUUACCUAACCCAACCCAACCCCCCGCCCCCCAAAUUUUUUUCCUGCGUUCGCCACUGCCCACAUGAAAUGUCUAACGGCAUAAAAUCGCACGACUGAGGCGGCCAAUUGACUGGGCCAUUUCGUACGAUAACAUGUUCACCAAACUCGGUUUUCAAUAAAUCGAUUGUGAUAUUCGCUGUGUGGCUUGUGGCGACGUCCUGUUGGAACCACAUAUUGUCCCAGUCCAUAUCAUCCACUUCGGACCAAAAAUAUUCGGUUAUCUUUGAGCGGUAGCGAUUUCCAUUCAAAGUAACGUGCCGGUUUUGAUCUUCCCGGAAGAAGUACGGCCCAAUGACUUCGCCAGCCCAUAAACCGCACCACCAGCCAGAAAUUAACCUCAUCACUUCGUAGGACGCUCUUAAAGUUGAGGCCAUUGACUCCGAAUUUCGGUAGUAAAGUUUAAUAAUUUCAUCUCUUUGUUGGAUCGUAUAUCUUUCCAUCUUUCUUACUUAAGGAAAUGUCAAAAGGGCGGGGAAAAUAUAACGCCCUUUUGGAAUAUCCUUUAUAUCCGAACUCGAAUAUUUGUAUACUGCGAAUAAAUCUACUGAGUCUGUAACCGAAUCAUGCUUCCAAACGAAUUAUAUAAAUAAACAAGCCACAUACAAUGAAAAUAAAUGGAUGGGCAAAUAUUUUUAACAGAGCUUCUAUAACUCUAUUGAAUAGCCAAUAUCCAUAACAAUAAAGCGGUGGUUAGAACUGCAUUGCGCAAGUGCAAAGUCUUGAGCUUUCUAGGUUGAGAUAGAGACGAAGUCGAUUCGGCAGCAUUUCUUAAAGCAUUUUGCGUAAUGAAAAAAUAAAACUUGGAAUGUCGACAUUACUUUCUCAGAUUAUUUAUAUAUAAUCAGAAAAUAUAUAUAAAAUUAUAAGUAUGUAUUGUUUAUAUGUG